rnacentral:lncRNA from 1 species
GGGAUGGCCAGGCCCUCCGGGCACUGAUCCAGGAGGGCCUGGUUCUUGCCUCAUGGAAGAGAAGAAUGAAUCUCUGGGCUGGGGGGGGACGAGCACAGCCUGGAAGCAAGAGCUCUCAAAAGGGAGGGGGGGGGCCACAGGGUUGCCACUGGGGCUUUUAUGGUCUUUUUAAGGAACCUAAUCAGGGAACUUGGUAAAUCUCCUGUUAAUAUCAGGGGGGGAUUUGUAAAUAUUAUGUCUAUGUUUACAACAACACAAGUUUCUUUGUGAAUAUCCUGAGCACAAACAAGGUGUUCCCUGCUCUCUGGUUAGUCUCUGCUCCCUAAUACUCCUCUACAUCUGGGGUUGCUUAGUAGCCAUUAGAGAGGCAACUCCCUGACAUCUUGAUGCUAGGGAGCUAGGCUUAUUGCUGUUUUCACUGUCUUAUCUCUGUUUUAUUGGGAUGGGUAGGAGCCUGACUCUGGGGGUUCCCCUUACCUUUCCCUGCCUAGCCCCGUCUGCCCCUAACUCUAACUGGUGCCUGCAUGGGCACCAUGCCGCCUCCUCCGGGCCUGGCUGCUCCUCCGGGUCCCGCGGGGGACUGGACGCGGCCCGAGUGCCCACCUCCCGGGCUGGAGCCUCACCUGCGGCCCCCGCUUGUCCUCUUCCAGAAACUCCGCCAGGAGACCCAGCGCGUGGACAAAUGGAUAAAAAUGCUCAAGCGAUGGGACCACUACCUCCCCAGCGAGAAGGUGGGGCGCUGGGUGCCCCCGAGGGCUCUCUGUCCUGACAGAGCUGGGGUCCGCCCUCAGUGUCCUCCUGCCCCGUCCUCGGGGGAGCCCCCUGCCUGGGGAGAGUCUGCUGGGAGCCCGAUCCUCCUCAGGCCCCGGGACGGCGGUGGGGGAGCGUCAGGUCGGGGCCACGGUCCCUGCUCCUAGUUGGGGACGGGGCCCAGCUCCAGGGAGACCCAGCCUCUCUGCAGACACCCUGGAGCCGAAGCCGGAACCUUCUAGAUGCCUCGCGCUCCCUGGGCCCCUCUCACCAGCACUGCCUUCCUCCCCGCAGCUGGGGUGGGUCUACAAGGGGGUCCCGCCCCAGGUGCGGGGAGAGGUGUGCCUGCGAUUGCUGACCAGAUUAAGGCCAGGAAUGCCAGGAAAUACCAGGUGGGGCCCUUCCACUCCCCGUGGACCCUCAGUCCCCUCCCUGUCCAGGGCUGACCCCCCAUGUCCCCUCCCCACCCAGGAUGAUCCUCAAUGUCCCCCUCUGUCCAAGGCUGACCCUUAGUCCCCUCCCCACCAGAGCUGACCCCCCAUGUCCCCUCCCCACCCGGGCUGAUCCUCCAUGUCCCCCCUGUCCAGGGCUGACCCCUGUCCCCUCCCCUCCAGGCUGACCACCCAUGUCCCCGCCCCACCCGAGCUGAACUCCCAUGUCCCCUCCCCACCCGGGCUGAUCCUCCAUGUCCCCUCCCUGUCCAGGCCUGACCCCCCAUGUCCCCUCCCCACCCGGGUUGAUCCUCCAUGUCCCCUCCCUGUCCAGGAUUGACCCUCAGUCCCCUCCCCACCCGGGCUGACCCUCAGUCCCCUCCCCACCCAUGACAGCUGCCCACAGGCCCUCAUGCAGGCCCCACGGGCACGGUGGGCACUCCCGCCGUCCCCAGCCUCCCAGGGAAAGGAAGGAGGUUCCUGCAGGACACACUCCCAUGGUGGCCCCAGGGCUCCCUGUCCAGGACGGCACCUGCUGACAGGUCGGGGUCUGUGUCCCUGACGCCGGCUCCUCCUCCUGGGGUCUCCCCGCAGGAAAUGAAGGAGGCGGCCCUGGUCUCCUCCCGGGACAUCAUGCAGAUCGACUUGGAUGUCAACCGGACGUUCCGCAGUCACACCAUGUUCUGGGACCGCUACAGGGUCGGGUGAGGCUGCUGGGCCAGCGGGGUUCGGGGGCCUGGGAGAGGCCACGGGGGCUUCUGUGCAGGGGACACGGGGGUCUCUGAGGCCGGGGGGAGUGACAGCAGCAAACAACACACUGCCACAUGGUAGGGUGCUGUGGAUGACCCCUGUGCCCCCACCCCCAGGGUUUUGGGGAUGGGGAGGCCCCAGGACGGGGCCUCCAGGGGUCACCGUCUGAGCUGAACCCCAAGGGGGUGAGGGACGGCUCCGUGAAGAGCAGGGGGCCGGGGUGGGGGCACGGGGGCAGUAAGGGGACCUGGGGGCCAGGGUGCAUGGCCGCAGCUGGACCGGGACACAUGGACCCGACGAGGGUCGGACAGGUCAGGGUGAUACCCACCCUCGGUGCUUUAUGUACUUCUGAAUUCUGGGCAUUUUAUUUUAGACAAUUUGCAGUCGGUGAGCACACAUAGUAUGACGACCCCCAGAUGCCGCCCCCGGUCCAGGCAGGCCCUGCGCUGAGCACACGGGGCCCCAGGGGCAGGGGUCACAGCAAACCCCAGACUGGGGUCGCCUUUAUCUGUCAACGACUCCAUGUGCACCUUAGCGAAGAGGGUGCCCUGUGUCCACAGCUCCCCACCCCAUCCCCCUCAACCACCGCCCCCACGCCAUCCCCCUACAUCACCCCCCAUAGCAUCCCCCACACCCCCACACCCCCACCCCUACACUAUCGGUCCCGACACCCCCUCACAAGGACCCAGUGCAGCUGCCCCCUGGGGGACAUGCUUAGCCUCCCCUUGGGGUUCUCUGGACGGCCUGCUCCCGUCAGAAGCUCCGGUGUCCCGUAGAGUCCCCAGGGGCCGUGGGGAGGGGGGAAGGCAGGGAGCCCCGACAGGGGGGUGCAGGUGGGUGGAGCAGAGGGUGCAGCUACCUCUGUGUGCAGUGGGCGGGGUGUGUGGGAGCCCGGGACCCCAGGAGUGACCUGCAGGGGUGCCAGGGGCAGGGCUGGUGAGCCGCCAGGCAAGGGUGGCUGGGCUUCCCGGGGAGCCGCUCAGACCGUCUCCCCACGAGAGCUCGGUGCUCCUCCCUGCAGGGAACCUGCUGCCCCCCGGGGCCCCCGCGGCCCUCAGAGCGCCGCAGGGUCAAGCUGAUCUGUGACCCCCGGCCCAGGGGGAGCCGGCCUCCUGCAGCCGGGCCCAGGGGCUGCGGAGCCGGGGUGCAGACUCAGGCUGCUGUGCGGGGGGCAUCGGGCGGCUCCUGGCAGCACUGAGGGGGCUGCACCCUAUACCCCCCAGCGGGUUCUGAUAGUGACCCAGGGGUUUGCAGCCUGUAUCCGGGUCACACCUACA